rnacentral:rRNA from 1 species
UCAGACGAUGCGUCAUGCAUAUCAAUAAGCGGAGGAAAAGAAACUAACAAGGAUUCCCCUAGUAACGGCGAGUGAAGCGGGAAGAGCUCAAAUUUGAAAUCUUAAAGGGUUUCCCUUUACGAAUUGUAGUUUAAAGAAGUGUUUUUUGUUGAGGUUUUGGUAAAAGUUCUUUGGAAUAGGACAUCAUAGAGGGUGAGAAUCCCGUAUUUGACCUUUACUUUCAACUUUGUGAUACACUUUCAAAGAGUCGGAUUGUUUGGGAAUGCAGUCCAAAAUGGGUGGUAAAUUUCAUCUAAAGCUAAAUAUUGGCGAGAGACCGAUAGCGAACAAGUACCGUGAGGGAAAGAUGAAAAGAACUUUGAAAAGAGAGUUAAACAGUACGUGAAAUUGUCAAAAGGGAAGCGUUUGACACCAGUGUUGUUUUUCUGAAAAUCAAUUAAAGAACUGUUUAUGCUAAGUUGUUUAGACUUUAUCAGCUAUCUGUUUAGUUUUGAGCUUUUCUUUAAUGCACUUUUCAGUUAACAAGUCAACAUCAAUUUCUUUUGCUGUAAAAAAGCUUGAGGAAGGUGGCUUGAGAUUCGUCUUAAGUGUUUAUAGCCUCUUGCCUAUGCAGUCGGAGAGAUUGAGGUCUGCAGCGUAGAUCCUUCGGGGCUAAAUGCAUUUGUGCUAAGUUAUAGCAUUUUAUAGACAACUUGUUGACUAUGAUUUGUCUUGUAGCUUACUCGCUUAUGUUAUUUUACCUACGCUUAGGAUGUUGAGCGCAUGUCUCUCUCU